rnacentral:rRNA from 1 species
UACGGGAGGCAGCAGUGGGGAAUAUUGCACAAUGGGCGCAAGCCUGAUGCAGCAACGCCGCGUGGAGGAAGACGGUUUUCGGAUUGUAAACUCCUGUUCUUAGGGAAGAAGACAGUGACGGUACCUAAGGAGCAAGCCACGGCUAACUACGUGCCAGCAGCCGCGGUAAU